rnacentral:rRNA from 1 species
UCGAGGAUCUUCGGCAAUGGGCGCAAGCCUGACCGAGCGACGCCGCGUGCGCGAUGAAGGCCUUCGGGUUGUAAAGCGCUGUCGAGGGGGAGGAAGCCGCAAGGUUGACCUAUCCCUGGAGGAAGCACGGGCUAAGUUCGUGCCAGCAGCCGCGGUAAGACGAACCGUGCAAACGUUGUUCGGAAUCACUGGGCUUAAAGGGCGCGUAGGCGGGUGGUCAAGUCAGGGGUGAAAUCUUUCGGCUCAACCGGAAAAUAGCCUUUGAUACUGACUGUCUCGAGGGAGGUAGGGGCAUGUGGAACUUCCGGUGGAGCGGUGAAAUGCGUUGAUAUCGGAAGGAACGCCGGUGGCGAAAGCGACGUGCUGGACCUUUUCUGACGCUGAGGCGCGAAAGCUAGGGUAGCGAACGG